UACGAAGGGUGCAAGCGUUGUCCGGAUUCAUUGGGCGUAAAGCGCGCGUAGGCGGUUUGGUAAGUCGGAUGUGAAAUCCCGAGGCUCAACCUCGGGACUGCAUCCGAUACUGCCCGACUAGAGGUAGGUAGGGGAGAUCGGAAUUCCUGGUGUAGCGGUGAAAUUCGUAGAUAUUCGGAAGAACACCAGUGGCGAAGGCGACUUACUGGACACAUAUUGACGCUGAGGUGCGAAAGCGUGGGGAGCAAACAGG
rnacentral:rRNA from 1 species